GAACGCACAUUGCGCCCUCUGGUAUUCCGGAGGGCAUGCCUGUUCGAGCGUCAUUUCAACCCUCAAGCAUUGCUUGGUGUUGGGGCACCGCCUGUAAAAGGGCGGGCCCUGAAAUCUAGUGGCGAGCUCGCCAGGACCCCGAGCGUAGUAAUUAUAUUUCGUUCUGGAAGGCCCUGGCGGUGCCCUGCCGUUAAACCCCCAACUUCUGAAAAUUUGACCUCGGAUCAGGUAGGAAUACCCGCUGAACUUAAG
rnacentral:misc_RNA from 1 species